GCUUGACGGACAUAUCGUCUGUAUUUGUCCUAUCGUACUCACCGUAAAGAGCUCUUCAGCACAAAACAAAAAAUCCUGGAUGGCCGGGCAAACGAAGACUUCAGUCAGGUUUGAAAAGGCAAGAAAACAGUUUUACGUUACUGAAAGACAUAGAAAAGAAUCGAUUGCAGAAACAUAUUCUCAUGCAGUCCUGUGUUUGUUAUUGCCAACAGAUGACAGUGCGAUGCGUUCCAGAUUGAUUUCAAACACACAAGAGAGAAAUAUAUGCGGAAGGAAGAAAGAAGUAUGAUGAAUUCACGACAAACCUUGCACAGGAUAUAAGCAUGACACCACCACAGCCACCCUGACACAAGCAUAUUUAAACAAAUUAGAAAUAAGCUGACAUGUUUAUAAUCAUAUCCCCACGUACAAAGUAUAUGGGGUUAUAUUGGAGUCACGUAUGUCCACCAGUCUGUUCGUCCGUCCGUCCAUCGUGUCCGCUUUCAUAAAACUGACAUCAAUUAUUAACCACAUCAAGACGGUGUGCUGAGCUCACAACCCAUGUCACUAGGUCCAAAGUUAAGGUUACUCUUUGAGGUCAAAAGUCAUAUAUUUUAACUUCAUGUCCGCUCCAUAUUGUCUAAAUGGCUUGGAAGGUACAAAGCUCGACUACUCGAAGAAUAAAGAUAAUUGUUAUACUUGCCUUUGCGUCGGUGUCAAUGUCACCGAUGUAUUCAAGUUAAAAUUUUAUAGCAAGCUUGUGUCACUAUAUAUUCUUUACUACUUCCCCUUUAACUUCAAACUUCAUAUAAGUGUUAGUCUUGGUAAGGGACAGACAUCUAUUACUUUUAGAGUCUGACUUCCUAAACGUCAAGGUCACUGGGUCAAACAUCAUAACAGUGCUGGUUAAAGUUUGACAAACUUCUCAAUUUCACCAUAUCCUCUUAACCAUAUAAUCACCAAACCUUACAUAAGGAUUGACCUUAGGAAAGGGCAAACAUUUUUAGGUUUAAGAUCAGGUAGGUCAAAGAUCAAGGGCACUGGGGUCAGAUUUUAUAAUAAUGUUGGUUAAAGUUUUAUGGCACACUUCUCAGUUUGACAUAUAACUCAUACUGUUUCUUUGCACUGGUAUCCCGUAUAUCCCACAUUUUUAAGCCCUACCCACACUGUCUAUACCCCAAUCCCGACACCUACCCAAAGAUACAUUCCUCACACAAACAUACAUUUCAUAUUCCCCUCAUCUCCGCUACCCACCUGUCUUCACUUAUUUCCACCAAUCCCAUUUCACCACUUCUCGCUCAAAACAAAGAAGAAUUAUUUUACAUUUUCUUUACAAUUAAUUAUAUUGUAAAUUAAUGUAUAUCUUGUAUAUCAUGUGUUUAUAUGAUGUUUAAGUAUCCCUUAUUCCCACACUUCUACUCCUAACCCCACUCACUUCCAAAUUUUUUUCCUAUACAUGUAUAUUGUUUACAUCUCUCACACAUCACAUCUCACCCCUCAUACUCUACAGCAACACCCCCUCACUUUCUCUAUAUUUCUUUUACAUCUUUCAUACUCAAGUUGUAUUUCAUUUGGGUUUGUUUACCCGUCAUAACCCUUACCCCUCCCUACAUACACUGCUACCUCUUAGAUUCCCUCAUCUCCCAGCACCUACUUCCACUUAACGUUGAUCAUUAGGUUCAAGGGCAAAGUCACACGUGAAGGUCAAAAGUCAUGGUGACAAAGUCUGGGGGUAUUAAUCACUUUCAGUGAUAGCUUUAACUGCUCAUGUUUAAGCGGCCUAAAUGUAUAACAAUAGCUGAAUUGUAUCAUUUAUUUUACAAGUGUUUGUUAAAUUUUAGGAUAAAUAGUUUCAGUAAAUUUAGAAAAUUAUAUAAUUUAAGAUCGGUGAUACAGUCGAACUAUUUUUAGACGAUUCAGAUACUUCUAGCUAGGUUUGUUUUUGGCCUUGAAUGUGUGCAUUUUUCUUUUAACUGCAUUAUUUAAAAAAAUACAUUUUGAACACAAAAUUCACAUUUGACUUUGAUAAAUAAAAUAACAGGGGCAGCCAGUAUUUGUAAGAAACCACAUAGAACAAUACUGAUAUGGUUAAUUAUUUCAAAAGCAUCUCAAAUAUAAGUUACUUUUAAACUGGACAGGGAUAGUUUUCAAAGAUAAAUAAACAUGCGUAGAUCUGUUUAUGAACACAAAUAAAACAUUUUGGGACAUGAGUUAAACUCCGAUAUUUGUUUGUUUCAGUGAUAGAUCGAAAUACAGAAUCAUUCUAGACUCAACUCCCGCAAAUGUAAACAUUUGAAAUAAUUCAGUUUUACUUAUAAAUUAAAGAUUUUUUUUUCAUUUUCAUGUACAAUUUAUCAGUGUACGUCACACGUAACGUUACGCUUGCUCUUAUGGCAAUAAAUAUGUUGGAAAAAGUAAUAUAGUUCUACGAGACUGAUUUCUUUUUCAUUUUAAUAAAGUUAUUUUUCUACUAUUUUUUUUGUUAAAAAACUAUCCGAUUAUGUGUAGAUCUAAUUCAUAUUCGCGUUAGAUUGAUGUUGCGUGCAAGUGAAAGUUGCGUUUGGAUUUCUCACUUCUAAAUCUGUGGGUUUAUCAGGCUAUAAUGUGUCGUUAUGUUUCAGUAAUACUCUGAAUGCUUGAAAUAAAAUUUCAUACUCUAGUAACAACAAAAUGUACAGAUAAAAUCGUAAUAGUUUUAUUCAAACACACAUUCUACCGUCUUUUGUCUGGGUCAACCUAAUGUAGCUUUUGAAAGUCAUUUUGGCCUCAUUUCUUGUACACUGAAUUUUACACUGUUUGGCAUAACUCUUAACCGACACCUUACUCUUGAGCACUAACAUUAACUCUUGGGGCUGAAAUGAAUUUUAAAGCAACUUUGUCUUUUAUAGGAACAAUGUGUUAAACUUUAAAUGUUUUUAGAAAUGAUGGGUAAAAAGAUGUACUGAUCAAAUGUUUAAUAGAAUUGUGGGCAAACAUUUUUAGUUCGCGCUUUUGAAGGAUUACUGAAAUAUAACGUUAGAUUAUAACAUGAUAAACUCAUUGUUCCAAACGGAGAGAAAUCCAAACAUGAUUUUCACUAGUACGUAACAACACUAGAACGCGAAAGGAUAUGACUGGAAAUUUGUUUCAAAAAGACAAAAAUGUAUAGUAGUGCUUACAACACCACUAAAAUAAAUGCCAAAGGAUUAAAAUGUAAACGAAAUGCGUAUCUUGUAGAACUAUCAACAUAAGCAUUAUGACGUCAUGAAAUACAGCACGACGUUACGUAACACUCGUGUCUCUGCGCGGUGGAAUAAGAUAAGAUACGAUUAGAUAAAUUUAUACUAACUCGACAAGAUAUAAAACAAUACAACAUAAACUGUAAGUGAGCUUUAAAACCGACCAUAAUUGUAAGAAUAAAAACGUGUAAUACUGAAUUAUCUUUCACUCGGGAACACCAGACUUAAAUUUACUCAGUGAAAGAUAUUUCGAUCUUGUACUGAAACAAACAAACAAACAAA